GACGAACGCUGGCGGCGUGCUUAACACAUGCAAGUCGAACGGAAAGGCCCUGCUUUUGUGGGGUGCUCGAGUGGCGAACGGGUGAGUAACACGUGAGUAACCUGCCCUUGACUUUGGGAUAACUUCAGGAAACUGGGGCUAAUACCGGAUAGGAGCUCCUGCUGCAUGGUGGGGGUUGGAAAGUUUCGGCGGUUGGGGAUGGACUCGCGGCUUAUCAGCUUGUUGGUGGGGUAGUGGCUUACCAAGGCUUUGACGGGUAGCCGGCCUGAGAGGGUGACCGGGCACAAUGGGACUGAGAGAGGGCCCAGACUCCUACGGGAGGCAGCAGUGGGGAAUAUUGCACAAUGGGCGGAAGCCUGAUGCAGCAACGCCGCGUGCGGGAUGACGGCCUUCGGGUUGUAAACCGCUUUCGCCUGUGACGAAGCGUGAGUGACGGUAAUGGGUAAAGAAGCACCGGCUAACUACGUG
rnacentral:rRNA from 1 species